GUCUUUGCUUCAUCAAGAACUCAACAGUAAUUCCCAAGAGAGGGGGGAGAGGUGUGGCUAAUUCUCCAGCGAAGCCCAUUCAAACAUCACCUGAGGCUGUGAGCUGGCAGACACAGGACAUCUGACCUCGGCGGCUCCAGACCAUCGGAGUACUGCAUAGACGCACCAGCAUGUCUCAGCAUCACACCCCCCCCUGUGAGUAAAUACCGAUUCACAGCAAACAAACUGCCUCCAAACAAGGGUGUGAUUUGUUAGUCAAAAAGAAAAUGUGGUAUCGAAUUUGCAUGAGAUGGCUCGACUUCAAAGAGAGGCUGCAC
ensembl:lncRNA